rnacentral:lncRNA from 1 species
CAGAGCUAAAUGUUUUGGCAUCGCUCCCUCUAAUGUGGUCGAGCAGCGUUCCCUCCAAAGACGUCAUAUAUGUAGAUAUUUACAUAUAUGUAAAUUAGGACCAUGGCUCCCCCGCUCCGCUGUGGGUGUCACACGCUCACACGCUGUUGGAGUCAGGCUGUUCCGCUUUGCCGGAAACUCAGAUAAACCAGUAAGGAGAGUUAAUAAUGCUUACGUAAGAGUUUUAGUAAAUCUCGCACAAAAAACUAUAAUCUCGGAUUUGUCCGAGAUUUGAGCAGUUUACAUCUAUUGUCCAGGGUAAUGAGAAAAUACGUUUAUCUGGUGUUUUGAAACUUUUCAAACAUCUAAUAUGGACACCAAACUUUGUAACUUGGCCUGUUUUGUUUCUUCAAAAACAUUCAUUUUGCAUCUUAAAGUCUGAAGAGGAAGUUUUUAAAGAGAGCGCAGUGAUGCCGUUUAAGGAUAAGUUUAAGCUUAGAAAAAAUGCUGAGACGACACGGUUUAAGGGUUUUAGACGAUAAACGACUAAACUCUGUGAACAUUUCAGAUACAAAUAUGUUUUUUUAAAGUGUGAGUAAAGAAGAAGAAGAAGAAGAGGAUGAAGAGGAGGAAGACUCAUUUCACAGCAGAGACUCAGCAGAGGUCACUGAGGACAGUAAGAGCAGAAGAACAAGAUAAAUAAAGGUAAAACUCAACACUGACUGUAGUUUUAGAGUUUUAAUGUGAAGUGAGGCUGUCUAAACUAAUUAAUUAUUUUGACUUUUUCUCCAAAUCAUCGCUUAAACAGCAGGUACAAGGUUUUGAUUCAAAGGUUUUAGCCCGAGAAAAAUAUAUUUAUUCUUAAAACCUUCAUUGAAAUACUUGUAAGUCAUUUUUAUGGUUUUUAAGUUGUAGGUUAACAGUUUGGUUCAACAGGUCCUUGUAGAUGCUGACCAUAUGUAAAAAGAAUAACAAGAACCUUUAUAGACAUGUUUAUCCUAAGUGACCGUAUGAAUUGAUCUGACAUUGUCCUUUAAUCAGAUCAGAGUAAACCAUGGAGGAGUUUCAUUCACCUAAAGUUUUCAGUGUGUGAUUGCAGCUCCGUCUAAUGAUUGAAAACCCCCUGAGGUGACAAACCAGAGCAUGUAGUUGACGCGUAUUUCCAUAAUAAAACACCAUAGUCGUAGAUUUUUCCUUUCUUGAAUUUACAUGGAGGUUUACUUUGCAUAAAAAAAAGAUACUUUUUACAAAUAAUAAUGACGAAGUCGAGACCCGAUGUAAACACGGUCAGAAAUUACUGUGCUCGCAAAGACCCACAGCUGCACUAACAACCCAAGAAAAACCAAUGGGAGAGCUGCAGUAGUAAUCAGCUUCAAUCAAACUUUAAAGUACAACUAUACAACUGUUCAGUCUCUCAGAGUUCUAAUCAGGAUAAAUAAUAAAAAUGAUUAAUUAUAUGUCAAAUUAUCAGUAGUGCACAAAAGGCUCUAACACAGUGUUUCGAAUGAUUUUUCCUCUGAAGUUUAAAUUAUUUCUUUGGACAGAUAUUUGGGCCGUUCUCCAUCAAACAAGGAUGUUUGCUCUCGUCUUGGUGUCUCUGCUUUUUUCUGUGAGGGUCGGUAAUGCGGUCAGAGGUAUGUGUAUUUAUGAAAGUCCUUUUUAUCACUUCAAUGUUCAACAAAAUAGAACAAAAUGAUUUUUAAUGAUGGAUGUGGUUACAAAGUCCUUCCCUUCACCUCAUCUAUUAUUGAAGAAAUCUGAAGGCUGUAGUAUUAGUGACAUGAUUAUAGAAAUAUGAUCAAUGUUGAGAUGUCUGCUGAGCUCUACUGACAACAAGUUGAUGUGAAUCUGAAGAAGAAGCCGACCGAACAGUUGGUAUAAAACAUGCUCUGACAAACUAAAACGUUUCUAUCCCUGCAUGUCUCACUGUUUGUUUUUUUAACAGGGUCUUCAGAGACGGAAGAAACAAUAUGUCAGGUGGAAGACUACUGUAUUACUUUAAGGAGAGGAGAAAUAAGAGCAGAAGCUGGACUCUGUGUUGUGAUACCGUGCUCUUUCAAUACUAGCUCUAGAUUUACUCCUGUGGCUAUCGAUUGGUUCAAAUGUGAGCCGUCUGUAAAAUGUAAUGUUUCAGAGAUAACAUACAGCUCAUACAGUGAAGAAGAUCAGUCAGAAUUGAGAGGCAGAGUAACACAGUUGGAGCCUUACAUUUUUAAGAGGAACUGCAGCAUCAUCAUCAGUGACCUGACUGAGUCAGACUCUGGAUCGUAUCAGCUCAGAGUUCAUGGUUGGCUUGAUGGACGCAGGGAUGGUUUCCAAUAUUCUUCAAGAGCAACUGUCUCUGUUAAAGGUAUGAAGAGUUUCACAAACAUUCAGUCAAGAAGUGAAUUACUGGACAUUUAGAUAAAGUGUGUGAAUUCAGGCUGUGAAGAUUCCUGAUGGAGCAGGAAGUAAUUUUGGCAUAUACUGACCUCUAGUGGUAAACUGUGAGAACCGCAGUGGUCCCACACAUCACUCCCAUGACUCUAAGAUAAUAAGUGUCCAGAAUCUCUGAGUAAAUUUGAAGUGUUUUAAUAGUUUCCAUGCUGCUCACCUCGUGUACUCAUGGACCUCUCUCUCAUCAGCUCUGACCCAGAAGCCCGCAGUGAUGAUUCCUCCUCUGACAGAGGGACAGCAGACCACACUGAGCUGCACUGCUCCUGGUCUCUGCUCUGGAUCUGCUCCUCAGAUCACCUGGAUGUGGAGACGAGGAGAAAACGACUCUGUCAUCCUAGGAAACUUCCGUACUGAGAGUCUGUCUGCUGCUGCACAAAGACACAGCUCAACUUUGACCUUUACACCCUCAGCUGAGGACCAUGGCACUGAGGUCACCUGUAAGGUCAGCUUCAAAAACAACAUCUCCACAGAGAAGAAAGAGACUCUGACUGUGACCUGUGAGUAUCUGAUCUCUAAAAAUGUUUCACGGAAAAACAACAGGAGCAGAUUUUCUGAUUGUUUUCAUGUCCCCUGAUGAAAAUGGUGCAACUUGAUAAAAGUUUAAAUCACAAACAGAUUGAAACAAAAUAAAUUUGAAUGAACUUUUUAGUGUUUUCUUCUAUUUUGUACAUGUUAUAUAAAGUUGAUCUGGUUCGGGAAACUGAAUCUGCACCAUUUUCAGGAUAAUUUCUCCAUUUCUGUCGUGUCAUAUUUAAAUAGAAAUUAUUGAACUGGUGUUUAGUUGUUUAAAUUGAACCUUGCUUGAAAAGUUUUCACCUUUUAUAGCAAAAAUACAGAACAGAAACCUGUUGAACAAGACAUCUGAAAAACAAGACAUUAAAACUAACUUUCUAGAAAUUAAAGUAACCAUCAACAUUUUAGUAACAAUUAGAGAGUUUCUGCUGAUGUGAAAUAAAUCCAGUUUUGUACUAUAUUACCUGACUCCUGUGCUUUUAGAGGACUAUAUCAGGACUAAUGUCAAAGUAUUUGUUUUUACUGUUAUUAAUAAAAGGCUUUCAUUUCUAGCAAAACAUAUGACUUUAAAUUUUAAGUCUCCCACCUACUGAAUCAUUCUUCUAUUCCUCUUGUUUGUUUACAGUUUCACCAAAGAUUCUCAACAGCUCUGCAUGUGAAGCUCAGCCUGGUGUCCUGACCUGUGUGUGUAUCAGUGAGGGGUUUCCUUUACCCACCGUUACAUGGCCACUGCUAAACAAUCACACCCAACACUGUGUCACGACAAGUGUGUGGAAAAACAGAGUCAACAGCAGCAUCACUGUACCUGAUAAAGAUCACAGCUACUCCACUGUUGGGUGUGUCAGCAAAAAUAACUUUGGAGAAGUGAAGAAGGAGCUGAAGAUCGUCAUAGCCAGCGAGUUUGAACAGGAGGGUGAGAACUGACGACUAAAGGCUGACUUAAAAUAAAUACUUGAUUUUACAUUAAAAAGUAACUUGUUAAACGUUUCUGUUCACAAGGAGUCGUGCUCUCUUUGGCUGUCGUUGCUGCUCUGUCUCUCGUUUUGAACGUCAUCUGUGUAAUCCUCGUGGCGUUUCUCUGGUGAGUUACUAAACCCUCAGUCUGUGUUUCCACAGCUCAGUUAAUGCAGUGAAGACUUUUAAACACUCAAUCAUGUUGAAUUUUUUUUUUCUCUUUUUCUCAAAAAAGGACCAAAAGAAGAACAGUGACACCAAACAAGGCGGACAGGACUUACAUGUCUCUUCAGAAAACAGAGCUAUCUCCAGAGCAGGGCUCUCAGGUUUCACGUGUCGAGCGUGAGACACACAUUUCAACGAGUUCACGCACCACACAACAUUUCUCACGCAGUAAACCUAUAAAUGGAUGAUGCUUGAAUCUGCAACCAAUCAGCCAGUCAGAAAAUAGUAUUUCUUGUUGCUAGGUGAAAUAACAGCACCAUAAUCGUGUCCUCCACACGCACGAAUGCUGCUAUUGUGUGCACACUAAAGAAGAGCUGGAAGUGGGUCCUGAAAUUAUGUUGCAACUCAAUCACUUGAUUUUUUUCUCAUACAAUUGCUGUAUUUUAUUAAAGUCAAGGAACUAUGCAGUAAAUUUGCUUUAUGGAUCAUUUUUUACCUCAAUUUAGGUUAUCUUCAAACACACUUCACUUCACUUCCCCCUCAAAAACAAACAAAUAAACAAACAAAAUAAAAAAUGAUCUCACUCCAAG